UGCAGAGUAGACGAGGACGCGUUAAGUGUUGUCUGGACAGGGAGUUGUCAGGCAAACGAAGUCAAACGACGCGGUGUCUAAGUCGCAUCCCGCUGUA
rnacentral:ncRNA from 2 species